AAACCUGAGAAACCCGAAAGGUCGAACGGGGAGAUUCAGCGUCAGCGGCGUCGGUUCGGCGGUGGUCGGCGAUGUAGCCCGACGGCGGCCCUCGCGGUCGUCUCGAAGCUACACGUCAUCACUCUGCCGUGUCCGGCGUUCGCGGUCGUGCACUUCUCCCCUAGUAGAACGUCGCGACCCGUUGGGUGUCGUCGGUCUACGGUCCGGGCGGUAGCCUGUCUCGACGCUUCGUUGCGCACGUGACAGACCCCCGAUCGCCUGACCGGCUACCCGGCGGUAUCGAUCAUCAAACGGUAUCCGGCCGCAAAUUUCGAAUUGCGUCGGGCACGCUGCAAGCUCGAUCAGCGUUUGUUUCCUGGUGGUCACGGACCUAGCGCCGUCCCCGGGCCUGAUCAGCUGUUGGUAUUAGGCGGUGAGCUCCGACAGGCACGCGGGCGCCGGCGUUUCGUCGGCGUUCGUUCGCGCGGUACCGGUCCGCGACGCUACUGCUUUGGGUACUUUCAGGACCCGUCUUGAAACACGGACCAAGGAGUCUAACAUGUGCGCGAGUCAUUGGGACUGCGAAUCCUAAAGGCGCAAUGAAAGUGAAGGUCGACCUUCGCGUCGACCGAGGGAGGAUGGGUCGCGUCGCGACGCGGCUCCGCACUCCCGGGGCGUCUCGUUCUCACUGCGAGAAGAGGCGCACCCAGAGCGUACACGUUGGGACCCGAAAGAUGGUGAACUAUGCCUGGUCAGGACGAAGUCAGGGGAAACCCUGAUGGAGGUCCGUAGCGAUUCUGACGUGCAAAUCGAUCGUCGGAACUGGGUAUAGGGGCGAAAGACUAAUCGAACCAUCUAGUAGCUGGUUCCCUCCGAAGUUUCCCUCAGGAUAGCUGGCACUCGCUCACACGCGAGUCUCAUCUGGUAAAGCGAAUGAUUAGAGGCCUUGGGGCCGAAACGACCUCAACCUAUUCUCAAACUUUAAAUGGGUGAGAUCUCUGGCUUGCUUGAAAUAUGAAGCCACGAGAGAUCCACGGAUCAGAGUGCCAAGUGGGCCAAUUUU
rnacentral:rRNA from 1 species